GACAGAGGUGCCAAGCGUUAGGCGGAAUCACUGGGCUUAAAGCGUGUGUAGGCGGGUUUCUAAGUGCCUUGUGAAAUCCCCCGGCUCAACCGGGGAACGGCAAGGCAGACUGGGAACCUUGAGCGAUUCAGGGGCGAGCGGAACAGGCGGUGGAGCGGUGAGAUGCGUAGAUAUCGCCUGGAACGCCGAAGGUGAAAACAGCUCGCUGGGGAUUUGCUGACGCUGAGACACGAAAGCCAGGGGAGCGAACGGG
rnacentral:rRNA from 1 species